rnacentral:misc_RNA from 1 species
UUAAAUUACUCUGGAUGGCCAACAAAUAUAGUCAAUAUUGAAAUCCCUUCUAUCCAUGCAUUUGAUGCCUAUCCAUCAAUUACAGAAGUAGCACAGACCAACUUGUCUAGCAUGGAAUGUGGACUCCCAAGUCAGUUAUCUUUCUCAGCUCGGGAAGUAUCAGAUGGGACUUUUUUCAGAGCAAUAGAGGACUAUGAUUCUGAUAACAAGAGACUCUUAU